AAAUAGAUACCCGGGUAGUCCACGCCGUAAACGAUGAGUGCUAAGUGUUAGAGGGUUUCCGCCCUUUUAGUGCUGCAGCUAACGCAUUAAGCACUCCGCCUGGGGAGUACGGCCGCAAGGCUGAAACUCAAAGGAAUUGACGGGGGCCCGCACAAGCGGUGGAGCAUGUGGUUUAAUUCGAAGCAACGCGAAGAACCUUACCAGGUCUUGACAUCCUCUGCCAACCCUAGAGAUAGGGCGUUCCCCUUCGGGGGACAGAGUGACAGGUGGUGCAUGGUUGUCGUCAGCUCGUGCCGUGAGAUGUUGGGUUAAGUCCCGCAACGAGCGCAACCCUUGAUCUUAGUUGCCAGCAUUUAGUUGGGCACUCUAAGGUGACUGCCGGUGACAAACCGGAGGAAGGUGGGGAUGACGUCAAAUCAUCAUGCCCCUUAUGACCUGGGCUACACACGUGCUACAAUGGAUGGUACAAAGAGCUGCGAACCCGCGAGGGUAAGCGAAUCUCAUAAAGCCAUUCUCAGUUCGGA
rnacentral:rRNA from 1 species